rnacentral:rRNA from 1 species
AGAGUUUGAUCAUGGCUCAGAAUCAACGCUGGCGGCGCGCUUAACACAUGCAAGUCGCACGAGAAAGGGAGCAAUCCUAAGUAAAGUGGCGCACGGGUGAGUAACACGUGGAUCAUCUACCUUUUAGUGGGGGAUACCUCUGGGAAACCGGAGACAAUACCGCAUAAGCCCGCAAGGGGAAAGCAGCAAUGCGCUGAAAGAGGAGUCCGCGGCCGAUUAGCUAGUUGGCGGGGUAACGGCCCACCAAGGCGAAGAUCGGUAGCCGGCCUGAGAGGGCACACGGCCACACUGGCACUGAAACACGGGCCAGACUCCUACGGGAGGCAGCAGUGGGGAAUCUUGCACAAUGGGCGAAAGCCUGAUGCAGCGACGCCGCGUGAGCGAUGAAGCCCUUCGGGGUGUAAAGCUCUUUCGACGGGAACGAUAAUGACGGUACCCGGAGAAGAAGCUGCGGCUAACUACGUGCCAGCAGCCGCGGUA